rnacentral:rRNA from 1 species
GCUAACGCGUUAAGCACUCCGCCUGGGGACUACGGUCGCAAGACUAAAACUCAAAGGAAUUGACGGGGACCCGCACAAGCGGUGGAGCAUGUGGUUUAAUUCGAUGCAACGCGAAAAACCUUACCACUCCUUGACAUGGAGAUUAGAUCCUUCUUAACGGAAGGGCGCAGUUCGGCUGGAUCUCGCACAGGUGCUGCAUGGCUGUCGUCAGCUCGUGUCGUGAGAUGUUGGGUUAAGUCCCGCAACGAGCGUAACCCUCAUCCUUAGUUGCCAGCGGGUAAUGCCGGGCACUUUAAGGAAACUGCCGGUGGUAAACUGGAGGAAGGUGGGGAUGAUGUCAAGUCAGCACGGCCCUUAUGGGGUGGGCUACACACGUGCUACAAUGGUGACUACAAUAGGUUGCAAUGUCGCAAGGCUGAGCUAAUCCGUAAAAGUCAUCUCAGUUCGGAUUGUCCUCUGCAACUCGAGGGCAUGAAGUCGGAAUCGCUAGUAAUCGUGGAUCAGCAUGCCACGGUGAAUACGUUCUCGGGUCUUGUACACACUGCCCGUCACGCCAUGGGAAUUGGCUUAACUCGAAGCUGGUGCGCUAACCGAAAGGAAGCAGCCAU